AGACCCGAAACCCGGUGAUCUAGCCAUGGGCAGGUUGAAGGUUGGGUAACACUAACUGGAGGACCGAACCGACUAAUGUUGAAAAAUUAGCGGAUGACCUGUGGCUGGGGGUGAAAGGCCAAUCAAACCGGGAGAUAGCUGGUUCUCCCCGAAAGCUAUUUAGGUAGCGCCUCGUGAAUUCAUCUCCGGGGGUAGAGCACUGUUUCGGCUAGGGGGCCAUCCCGGCUUACCAACCCGAUGCAAACUGCGAAUACCGGAGAAUGUUAUCACGGGAGACACACGGCGGGUGCUAACGUCCGUCGUGAAGAGGGAAACAACCCAGACCGCCAGCUAAGGUCCCAAAGUCAUGGUUAAGUGGGAAACGAUGUGGGAAGGCCCAGACAGCCAGGAUGUUGGCUUAGAAGCAGCCAUCAUUUAAAGAAAGCGUAAUAGCUCACUGGUCGAGUCGGCCUGCGCGGAAGAUGUAACGGGGCUAAACCAUGCACCGAAGCUGCGGCAGCGACACUGUGUGUUGUUGGGUAGGGGAGCGUUCUGUAAGCCUGUGAAGGUGUGUCGUGAGGCAUGCUGGAGGUAUCAGAAGUGCGAAUGCUGACAUAAGUAACGAUAAAGCGGGUGAAAAGCCCGCUCGCCGGAAGACCAAGGGUUCCUGUCCAACGUUAAUCGGGGCAGGGUGAGUCGACCCCUAAGGCGAGGCCGAAAGGCGUAGUCGAUGGGAAACGGGUUAAUAUUCCCGUACUUGGUGUUACUGCGAAGGGGGGACGGAGAAGGCUAUGUUGGCCGGGCGACGGUUGUCCCGGUUUAAGCGUGUAGGUGUGUGUUCCAGGUAAAUCCGGUUCACUUUAACACUGAGGCGUGACGACGAGGCACUACGGUGCUGAAGCAACAAAUGCCCUGCUUCCAGGAAAAGCCUCUAAGCAUCAGGUAACAUCAAAUCGUACCCCAAACCGACACAGGUGGUCAGGUAGAGAAUACCAAGGCGCUUGAGAGAACUCGGGUGAAGGAACUAGGCAAAAUGGUGCCGUAACUUCGGGAGAAGGCACGCUGACACGUAGGUGAAGUGAUUUACUCAUGGAGCUGAAGUCAGUCGAAGAUACCAGCUGGCUGCAACUGUUUAUUAAAAACACAGCACUGUGCAAACACGAAAGUGGACGUAUACGGUGUGACGCCUGCCCGGUGCCGGAAGGUUAAUUGAUGGGGUCAGCGCAAGCGAAGCUCCUGAUCGAAGCCCCGGUAAACGGCGGCCGUAACUAUAACGGUCCUAAGGUAGCGAAAUUCCUUGUCGGGUAAGUUCCGACCUGCACGAAUGGCGUAAUGAUGGCCAGGCUGUCUCCACCCGAGACUCAGUGAAAUUGAACUCGCUGUGAAGAUGCAGUGUACCCGCGGCAAGACGGAAAGACCCCGUGAACCUUUACUAUAGCUUGACACUGAACAUUGAGCCUUGAUGUGUAGGAUAGGUGGGAGGCUUUGAAGCGUGGACGCCAGUCUGCGUGGAGCCGACCUUGAAAUACCACCCUUUAAUGUUUGAUGUUCUAACGUGGACCCGUAAUCCGGGUUGCGGACAGUGUCUGGUGGGUAGUUUGACUGGGGCGGUCUCCUCCUAAAGAGUAACGGAGGAGCACGAAGGUUGGCUAAUCCUGGUCGGACAUCAGGAGGUUAGUGCAAUGGCAUAAGCCAGCUUGACUGCGAGCGUGACGGCGCGAGCAGGUGCGAAAGCAGGUCAUAGUGAUCCGGUGGUUCUGAAUGGAAGGGCCAUCGCUCAACGGAUAAAAGGUACUCCGGGGAUAACAGGCUGAUACCGCCCAAGAGUUCAUAUCGACGGCGGUGUUUGGCACCUCGAUGUCGGCUCAUCACAUCCUGGGGCUGAAGUAGGUCCCAAGGGUAUGGCUGUUCGCCAUUUAAAGUGGUACGCGAGCUGGGUUUAGAACGUCGUGAGACAGUUCGGUCCCUAUCUGCCGUGGGCGCUGGAGAACUGAGGGGGGCUGCUCCUAGUACGAGAGGACCGGAGUGGACGCAUCACUGGUGUUCGGGUUGUCAUGCCAAUGGCACUGCCCGGUAGCUAAAUGCGGAAGAGAUAAGUGCUGAAAGCAUCUAAGCACGAAACUUGCCCCGAGAUGAGUUCUCCCUGAGACUUUAGGUCUCCUGAAGGAACGUUGAAGACGACGACGUUGAUAGGCCGGGUGUGUAAGCGCAGCGAUGCGUUGAGCUAACCGGUACUAAUGAACCGUGAGGCUUAACCUUACA
rnacentral:rRNA from 1 species